rnacentral:rRNA from 1 species
AUUGAACGCUGGCGGCAGGCCUAACACAUGCAAGUCGAACGAGUGGCGGACGGGUGAGUAAUGUCUGGGAAACUGCCUGAUGGAGGGGGAUAACUACUGGAAACGGUAGCUAAUACCGCAUACCAUCAGAUGUGCCCAUAUGGGAUUAGCUGGUAGGGGGGGUAACGGCUCACCUAGGCGACGCUCCCUAGCUGGUCUGAGAGGAUGACCAGCCACACUGGAACGUAGACACGGUCCAGAAUCCUACGGGAGGCAGCAGUGGGGAAUAUUGCACAAUGGGCGCAAGCCUGAUGCAGCCAGGCCGCGGGUAUGAAGAAGGCCUUCGGGUUGUAAAGUACUUUCAGCGGGGAGGCGUUACCCGCAGAAGAAGCACCGGCUAACUCCGUGCUAGCAGCCGCGGUAAGUC